AACGAACGCUGGCGGCAUGCCUAACACAUGCAAGUCGAACGAAGCCUUCGGGCUUAGUGGCGCACGGGUGCGUAACGCGUGGGAAUCUGCCCCUUGCUUCGGAAUAACAGUUAGAAAUGACUGCUAAUACCGGAUGAAGUCUUCGGACCAAAGAUUUAUCGGCAAGGGAUGAGCCCGCGUAGGAUUAGGUAGUUGGUGGGGUAAAGGCCUACCAAGCCGACGAUCCUUAGCUGGUCUGAGAGGAUGAUCAGCCACACUGGGACUGAGACACGGCCCAGACUCCUACGGGAGGCAGCAGUAGGGAAUAUUGGACAAUGGACGCAAGUCUGAUCCAGCAAUGCCGCGUGAGUGAUGAAGGCCUUAGGGUUGUAAAGCUCUUUUACCAGGGAUGAUAAUGACAGUACCUGGAGAAUAAGCUCCGGCUAACUCCGUG
rnacentral:rRNA from 1 species